CACACCCUAUACACACACACACACACACACCCUAUACACACACACAUAUGCACACACACACCCUAUACACACACACACACACCCUAUACACACACACACACACACCCUAUACACACACACACCCUAUACACACACACACACACACACCCUAUACACACACACACACAUACACACACACAUACACACACACACCCUAUACACACACACACACCCUACACACACACACACACACACCCUAUACACACACACACACACACCCUAUACACACACACACACACCCUAUACACACACACACACCCUAUACACACACACACACACACCCUAUACACACACACACACACCCUAUACACACACACACACACACACACACACACACACACACACCCUAUCCUUCUUAACCUUCCCAAAUAAGGGACUCCUUCUCCAGCAGGAGUGUGUGCAGUUCCAUCCUCUGCCGCCGCCCAAGGUCUAAACAGGAAGAUGGACGUGAACCUGAGGCAGAGCAGACCUGCACCUUGGUGGCACAUUCCCCAGUAAAUAGCCACUGUGCCCGAAAUGGAGUCAACUUGUCCAGCUUCCUUCCUGGGGUAAUCACAAAUUGUCACGAUUCAGGUGUCACUCAGAAGCAUUCGGUGGCUAUCCUUGUCUUUGGUAACGCCUCUUGCCCUCAGAUGUCUGCUGAGGACCUGAAGGCCAGAUGCAGGUGUGACAGCAAGGCCACUCAACGCAGAGACCUGCCCCCAACAGGAGCUCUGAGAUCUCUUUCAGGAAAUAACUGUGGCCAAGCUGGGUUCCGGACGAUGAGUUGCAGCCACCCACAUCGCUGACUAGAGUUAUUCUGUCAUCUGCAACAAGGGUCACAUGAGCAAAUGCAGGUGGCACAACCUCAUAGGACUUAAAAGGGAAUUAUCGGUACUGGUGCACAUGGAGAAAAGCGGCAACACACCCUAAAUGUCACCCAAGCGCAGAUCAAUGGCAGUGGAAUCAGAGAGAGUUGGGUUCAAAUCCUGACAUUGCACCUACCUCUAAUGGCUUCAGUUGUUCUCUCUGGGGCUUGGCUUCUUCACUGUGAAAGCCAGACAAUACCACCUGGCUAAUCAAGUAAGAUGACAUCACCCUUGCGUAGUCACAGGCGUGUUCAGCUAAUGCCAAAUUUCUCUUUAAUUAACGUGUGUCUGUCAUCCAGACAAAAAUGGAAGGAAAGGGCAAAAACAAAACAAAGACUCACCCACACAGCCAGCCCUUCAGACUCCGAAGUGAAGCCAUUCGCAUUUGAACCGCACCUUGUGGUUUGCUAAGCAGCUCUGUGCCGGACGGUCUCACAGAAUUCUGCAGUGACCUUGUAACCACAGCCAAGACACAAGCAAACGAAUGGAUGACUUCAGAGGUGCUCUCCAGCCCACAUGAGAACAAAGCACCCUUGUUCAGCUCUUCUUUAAGCAGCCAUGCUGCAAACCAUAGACAGAACCCUGUAUAAGGGAAGAGGGAAAACUGAGAUGGGAAUGGUGGCUCACCCAACCCUAGACAUCCAACAUCCUUAAAAACUAUCCAUGAGAUUCACCUGUGCUGCCCGUGUAUUCCUGGACGCGUGGCCUUCCCUGGAACACGGUCAACCCACCAGAGGCUGCCCUUAAAGCAAAAGGAACAGGAGCCCCCUCUACCGGAAGCCGUCAGUUGUCAACAGCUCCGCCCUGGGAUGCUGUCUGUAUUGAAAAUACUUCUAACAUGGACACUUUAAGAAUUCCUGUACUCUAUUGUAAGACUUCAUUAUCUGUGGGGUUUUUAGAAGAUAACUUUUAAAAACUAAGUGGGGGGAAACAUUGCUAUAAACAUAU